rnacentral:rRNA from 1 species
GAUGAACGCUGGCGGCGUGCCUAAUACAUGCAAGCCGAGCGAACGAACGAGAAGCUUGCUUCUCUGAUGUUAGCGGCGGACGGGUGAGUAACACGUGGAUAACCUACCUAUAAGACUGGGAUAACUUCGGGAAACCGGAGCUAAUACCGGAUAAUAUUUUGAACCGCAUGGUUCAAAAGUGAAAGACGGUCUUGCUGUCACUUAUAGAUGGAUCCGCGCUGCAUUAGCUAGUUGGUAAGGUAACGGCUUACCAAGGCAACGAUGCAUAGCCGACCUGAGAGGGUGAUCGGCCACACUGGAACUGAGACACGGUCCAGACUCCUACGGGAGGCAGCAGUAGGGAAUCUUCCGCAAUGGGCGAAAGCCUGACGGAGCAACGCCGCGUGAGUGAUGAAGGUCUUCGGAUCGUAAAACUCUGUUAUUAGGGAAGAACAUAUGUGUAAGUAACUGUGCACAUCUUGACGGUACCUAAUCAGAAAGCCACGGCUAACUACGUG